rnacentral:rRNA from 1 species
GAUGAACGCUGGCGGCGUGCCUAAUACAUGCAAGUCGAGCGAACAGACGAGGAGCUUGCUCCUCUGACGUUAGCGGCGGACGGGUGAGUAACACGUGGAUAACCUACCUAUAAGACUGGGAUAACUUCGGGAAACCGGAGCUAAUACCGGAUAAUAUAUUGAACCGCAUGGUUCAGUAGUGAAAGACGGUUUUGCUGUCACUUAUAGAUGGAUCCGCGCCGCAUUAGCUAGUUGGUAAGGUAACGGCUUACCACGGCAACGAUGCGUAGCCGACCUGAGAGGGUGAUCGGCCACACUGGAACUGAGACACGGUCCAGACUCCUACGGGAGGCAGCAGUAGGGAAUCUUCCGCAAUGGGCGAAAGCCUGACGGAGCAACGCCGCGUGAGUGAUGAAGGUCUUCGGAUCGUAAAACUCUGUUAUUAGGGAAGAACAAAUGUGUAAGUAACUAUGCACGUCUUGACGGUACCUAAUCAGAAAGCCACGGCUAACUACGUG